rnacentral:lncRNA from 1 species
UACCAUAUUUUACCUCCUAUGUGAACUUCGUAAGCUAUAAUAACAUGUAACAGCCCGAGAUUAGAUAUAUUUAUUCAAUAUGUUUUUUAAAUAAACAAUCCUCGUAAUAUUAUUACAAUAAUCACGCCACGACGCCGCCCCACCUUAGAUCAGUCGGUGGGUUUGUAUAUAAAGGCGUCUGAGAUCUCGACUCCGGCAUAACGCAUCCUUUGUGCAUAUAUCUAUUCUUUGUUUUAACUUUCAUCCUCAAAAACCAACCAAAAACCAAAAAUGGGCGCAGAAAAAGUAUCCAUGAACAUCGUCGUCGUCGGACAAGUGCAAUCUGCCAAGGCGGUCAAAUCGAUCGCCAAAGCUACACCAGCGACCAGCCAACUUAUGAACUGUUAAUUCAUCCAGUCCAUCACAUUGCAAAACUCAAAAAUGCCAUAGCCCAAACAAUACAAUAAUAAUAUGUACCUUAUUCAUAUUUCAUAUCAGUAUUGAAACCGCAAAAUAAAUCAGUCGUUUCCGAUAAACUUAA